rnacentral:sRNA from 1 species
CUCUGCCAGGGAUUAAAGUCUGGUGAGUUCAUCUUGGAUACUAAAACCCCACUGAGAACUGGACUCAAGGGUCCUCCAUAGCCCCUUUUGAGAAGAUGAGUUUCAGCUUCCCUUGCCCUGCUAAAGCCCUGGGCUAGGGACCAGCUCGGCCACAAAAGGCCUGCUUAUCUUUCCUCACCUGUUUCUGCAUUAUCACUACUGAAAUCCCCAGGUUGGCAGGAACAAAUGGCCUGGACUGGCAAGGUGGUUACUGGGGUCGUCUUUAAGCACAAGUUUUGAUUCUUUUUUUUUUUUUUUUUUUUUUUUUUAGACCGGAUCUCACUCUGUCACUCAGGCUGGAAUGCAGUCAGUGGCAGGCGUGAUCAUGGCUCACUACAGCACAACUUCUGGGGCUCCAGCAAUUCUACCUCAGGCUCCCAAGUAGCUGGGACCAAAGGCAUGCACAACCAUGUCAAGCUAAUUUUUGUGUUUUUGGUAGAGACAGGAUUUCAUCAUAUUGCCCAGGCUGAUCUCGAACUCCUGAGCUCAAGCAAUUCACCUGCCUCAGCCUCCCAAAGUGCUGGGAUUACAGGCAUGAGCCGCCACGCCCAGCCCACAGAUGUCACUUCUGCCUUUCCAUUAUUACUCAGUUUUCUGAAUGCCAGUUGCUUCUAGCAUAGUGCCUGCUCUAGAGAACCCCUCAGGAACCAAGGCCCAUCUUUCUGUGUUGUUCCACUCAACACUUAAGUUGCUGUGAUGGAGCCAUGUGGUCGGGGUCAGGGUUCCCACUGCACUUUCCGCAGUGCUCCCAGAACUCAAUAUGUACUGGGAAGGGCCUGCUGUAGUGACAGCCUCUCUUUGGGGCCAGCUUCUGCUUUUGCCCCCAUCUUUGCAGUACAGGGGGUAAAUUAAACAAGAGGAUGCCUGAAUGAAGGAUAUCCUGGGUUCUUGAGAGACAAGUGGGAGCUGAUAAUUCUGAAAAUUCAUUAGUCAAAGCAUGGAGAUAAAGGUGGCAGCAGGAAGGGCAGAGGCAAGGAGUAGACCCAUGACAGUUUUAGAAUCUUAUUUGUGCCAAAAUACUUUACUGCAUUGGCUUGGACCUCUAAUACAAUGUUGAAUUGUUAACCAUGAUAGCACUGUAUCCUGGUCUAAUUCCUGAAUUGAAUGGCUAGUCUUACCAUUAAGAAUGCUAUUUGCGGCCAGGCAUGGUGGCUCACACCUGUAACCCCACCACUUUGGGAGGCCAAGGCAGGUGGAUCACUUGAGGUCAGGAGUUUGAGACCAGCCUGGCCAACAUGAUGAAACCCCGUCUCUACUAAAAAUAGAAAAAUUAGCUGUGUGUGGUGGCGGGCGCCUGUAAUCCCAGCUGCUCUGGAGGCUGAGGCAAGAGAGUCACCUGAACCUGGGAGGCAGAGGCUGUGGUGAGCCGAGAUCGCACCACUGCACUCCAGCCUGGGCAACAGAGCGAGACUCCGUCUCAAAAAAAAAGAAUACUAUUUGCUAUGAUUUUUGGAUGAUAUCUUUAUAAUAUUAAGGGAUGUCCCUUCCUUGGAUUUUGCUUUUUAAGGGAAGGUAAUGUCUAAGAUAAGCCUUUGAAAUCUUGAAAUUCAGAGUGAUUUGGGAUUUAUAGAGAGCUGUACAGAGCAUUGGUGAUUGUUAUUCCUUGAGUUCUUAAAACGUAAACCAGGCCUGGGCCCUUCCUUCCUCUGUGCCCAACUCUCAUCCUCUGUGGUUUGUGGUUUCAGUUAUUGCCUUGUCUGUCAAGAUCCGCAGUUAUGAAGAACACUUGGAGAAACAUCGAAAGGACAAAGCCCACAAACGCUAUCUGCUAAUGAGCAUUGACCAGAGGAAAAAGAUGCUCAAAAACCUCCGUAACACCAACUAUGAUGUCUUUGAGAAGAUAUGCUUGGGGCUGGGGAUUGAGUACACCUUCCCCCCUCUGUAUUACCGAAGAGCCCACCGCCGAUUCGUGACCAAGAAGGCUCUGUGCAUUCGGGUUUUCCAGGAGACUCAAAAGCUGAAGAAGCGACGAAGAGCCUUAAAGGCUGCAGCAGCAGCCCAAAAACAAGCAAAGCGGAGGAACCUAGACAGCCCUGCCAAAGCCAUACCAAAGACACUCAAAGACAGCCAAUAAAUUCUGUUCAAUCAUU